rnacentral:rRNA from 1 species
AUUGAACGCUGGCGGCAGGCCUAACACAUGCAAGUCGAACGAGUGGCGGACGGGUGAGUAAUGUCUGGGAAACUGCCUGAUGGAGGGGGAUAACUACUGGAAACGGUAGCUAAUACCGCAUACCAUCGGAUGUGCCCAGAUGGGAUUCGCUUGUAGGUGGGGUAACGGCUCACCUAGGCGACGCUCCCUAGCUGGUCUGAGUGGAUGCCCAGCCAUACUGGAACGGAGACACGGUCCAGACUCCUACGGGAGGCAGAAGUGGGGAAUAUGGCACAAGGGGCGGAAGCCUGAUGCAGCUAUGCCGCGUGUAUGAAGAAGGCCUGCGGGUUGUAAAGUACUUUCAGCGGGGAGGCGUUACCCGCAGAAGAAGCACCGGCUAACUCCGUGCCAGCAGCCGCGGUAAUAC